rnacentral:misc_RNA from 1 species
GGAAGGAUCAUUAACACGUAUCCAACGUUAAACCCCCCCGUGAACCUACAUUUUCCUUCUCCGCUUACAGAAAAUUGGUUGCAAUCCCUGGUAAAUCAUCGCCGAACAGUUUUGAUUCAGGGACUUCUAACACGUAAGUGUCCCAUUCAGAGGAUAGUAGCUGAUGGGUUCGACUAUCCCAAGGUGUUGAGUGCUUUCAAUGUGCAGAGAGAGAGAUAAUCAGGGGGUUGUGAAAGUGUUCAACCUGAUUGUUUUUGUCUUUGUAAGGAGAAAGUGUCACGAGAUGCUGUAAGAUAGACCGCUUUAAUCAGCGGGUUACCAGGAGGCCGACACGGCCGGUAAUCGGAUUCUGGGCGUCGUUCCUAUAGGAACGAGCAUACGUCCCGCUUGUCCCCUUGAAACGACAGGGUUGACUUGUACAACGUAAAGCAUGUUAAUAAAGCCCGCACCCUAACGGGAGCCGGUGUUAAACUGAACAACUGUUAACAAUGGAUAUCUUGGUUCUCGCAACGAUGAAGAACGCAGCGAAAUGCGAUACGUAAUGCGAAUUGCAGAAUUCAGUGAAUCAUCGAAUCUUUGAACGCAAAUUGCGCUCUCGGGUUACCCCCAAGAGCACACCUCUCUGAGUGUCGGUUUAACCAAAUGUCACCAAUUUAUUGGUGUACGACAGACUGAGGGUAAGGGGCCGAGAGGCUUCUUUCCUUUUAAAUUUCAGCAACACAGAUGUGUGUGUUUGUGGCAAGUUGCUUUCACUUAACUGUGAAUCCAAUCCAUGAGCCCUAUUUGUGGAGCCCAAAGAAACAAAUGAACAAGGGUGUGAACUUAGAAUUAUGCUUUUACAGUGAACGGGAGGAAUACGCAGGUGAGAUAGAUAAUCAGGGGGUUGUGAAAGUGUUCAACCUGGUUGUUUGACUCCUUGUUUGUUCAGCCUGGUUGCUGUUGAAGUGUGAUUUUGGGGGAACGGCUUUGUGCAUCUAUGAAUUAGACCUCAGAUGAAGUGGGAAGACCCCCUGAAUUUAAGCAUAUUAUUAAGGGGAGGAAAAGAAACUAACAAGGAUUCCCCCAGUAACGGCGAGUGAAGCGGGAAGAGCUCAAAUUUAAAAUCCACUGGUCUAACAGCCUGUGGAGUUGUAAUCUAGAGAGGCUCUCUCAGUGCCAGCCUGGUUAUAAGUCCCUUGAAACGGGGCAUCAAAGAGGGUGAGAAUCCCGUAUUUGAGCCGGAGCUAAGUACGUACGAGGAGUUUUCUAAGAGUCGCGUUGCUUGGGAGUGCAGCGCUAAAUGGGUGGUAAAGUUCAUCUAAAGCUAAAUACUGGCGAGAGACCGAUAGCGAACAAGUACCGUGAGGGAAAGAUGAAAAGAACUUUGAAAAGAGAGUUAAAAAGUACUUGAAAUUGUUAACAGGGAAGGGGAGUCAACCAGUCAUAAUUAAGCUUCAUUCGCUUCGCCUUCGGGAGGGGUUACUUGAGGCUAAAUUGGGUCAGCAUCACUUAGGGUCUUCGGAGAAAAUGUGUGAGCUGGUGCGUUUCUUCGGAUUCGUUUAGCUUGUGCAAUCUUACGUUGGCGCUGGGUGUGGAGUGAUAACCCCCCACCUUCGGGUGUCGGUUCUCUGGGGCCUGUUUGCUCUAGCGCGUGAGAGAACAAAGUUCUGUCUGUGCGAAAGGUGAAUACUGCCUCGGAUGAGCUAGAUGGUGUGGUUCGCGAUGCAGACGAAAUGGUUGUCUUCCACCCGUCUUGAAACACGGACCAAGGAGUCUAACAUAUAUGCGAGUAUUUGGGUGACAAACCCUGAUGCGUAAUGAAAGUAAAGAGCUGCAAAGCUUGAGGUAGGAAUCUCGCCCUCGGGUGGGAGGCACUAUCGACCGAUCGUUCGCUUGCGGAAGAUUUGAGUAAUAGCAUAUCUGUUGGGACCCGAAAGAUGGUGAUCUAUGCCUGAACAGGGUGAAGCCAGGGGAAACUCUGGUGGAAGCUCGUAGCGAUACUGACGUGCAAAUCGUUCGUCUGAUUUGGGUAUAGGGGCGAAAGACUAAUCGAACCAUCUAGUAGCUGGUUCCCUC